AGCACAUAAAAUUAUUGCUCCUCCUGUUCCCCUGUUUCUUGCCCCCGAGACUUCUUAAAGCCUCAAACUUGCCUUUAUCCUCCCAAAACCUCCGGCUACGAGCCUUCUUCACAACGUUCGAGUUUUGAGGUGGCGAAUUGGUGACUACCGCACAUCCCUGCUUAAUUAAAAAAUUCACUCAACAACAUGUAUCUGUUCAGUUUUUUUCAAUAACUAGUAGCUAUAGAUAAAAGCUUCGGCAGAAAGUGGAAAAAUACAGAAAAAUGGCUUCUAGAGUUCAAAAUCCCAUACAAAAUAGGCUGUGGUUGCUAUCAUUCUCAACUUCAUCGUCUUCUUCUUUGUGCAAUUCCGUAAGUUUAAAGAAGACCCGUUUCACAAAUAGGACCCGUUUCACAAAUAGGUCCCUUUUCGGCAAGAGAAUGUCGUGGUCUUCUUCAAGACGAAAUCUUUACUGUACUUGCAGUACCAGCAGAGGCAGCACUAUGGAUUCUAAUACUAGUCCCAGUAGUGGCAGGCAAAAUGCUGAGCCUUUUGUCAUCACAACUCCGCUUUAUUAUGUGAAUGCCCCGCCUCACAUGGGCAGCGCCUAUACUACCGUUGCUGCUGACGCCAUUGCUCGUUUUCAGAGGCUUCUUGGGAAUAAGGUUGUAUUCAUUACUGGCACAGAUGAGCAUGGGGAAAAGAUUGCUACUGCUGCGGCUGCCUGUGGUUGUAGCCCUGCUGAACACUGCAAUGUCGUAUCACAGGCUUACAGGACACUCUGGAGAGAUUUAGGCAUAGCUUAUGAUAAGUUCAUCCGGACCACUGAUCCUAAGCAUGAAGCAAUUGUGAAGGAAUUCUACUCUAAGGUCUUAGCAAAUGGUGACAUUUAUCGGGCGGAUUACGAGGGACUGUAUUGUGUAAAUUGUGAAGAGUACAAGGAGGAAAAGGAAUUGCUGGACAACAACUGUUGUCCCAUCCACCUAAAACCAUGUGUUGCCAAAAAAGAAGACAAUUACUUCUUUGCCCUGUCAAAGUAUGAAGGAUUCCUAGGAAAGAUGCUAAGUGAGAAUCCAGAAUUUGUGCAGCCUUCUUUUCGCUUGAAUGAGGUACAAAGCUGGAUUACAAGUGGGUUGCGAGAUUUUUCCAUUUCCCGUGCAUCAGUAGAUUGGGGUAUAGAGGUCCCUAAUGAUGCCAAGCAAACUAUAUAUGUUUGGUUUGAUGCUUUAGUAGGUUAUAUUUCUGCUUUAUUGAAUGAUGGGGAGCAGCCAAACUUACAGACUGCAAUCUCAUCAGGCUGGCCCACAUCUCUGCACUUAAUUGGCAAGGAUAUAUUACGGUUUCAUGCAGUUUAUUGGCCAGCUAUGCUCAUGUCAGCUGGACUCCAACUUCCUAAGAUGGUAUUUGGCCAUGGGUUUUUGACAAAGGAUGGCAACAAGAUGGGCAAGUCACUGGGAAAUACACUAGAACCAACUGAUUUGGUGCAAAGAUUUGGACCUGAUGCUGUCAGGUACUUUUUCCUCAAGGAGGUUGAAUUUGGUAGUGAUGGGGAUUACUCUGAGAGCCGUUUCAUUAAUACUGUCAAUGCACAUCUUGCUAACACAAUUGGGAAUCUUCUGAACCGAACACUUGGGCUUCUGAAGAAAAAUUGUCAAUCAACUUUGGCUGUUGAUUCAGCCAUUGCUGCUGAGGGAAAUACAUUCAAAGAUGCAGUGGAGAUGUUGGUCACGAAGGCGAAAACUCAUUAUGAAACCCUUGCUCUCUCGUCAGCUUGCGAAGCUGUGCUGGAGAUUGGUAAUGCUGGGAACUUGUACAUGAAUCAACAGGCGCCUUGGUCUCUUUUUAAGCAAGGAGGUGCUGCUUCUGAAACUGCAGCGAAGGAACUUGUAAUUGUGCUGGAAGCAAUGAGGAUCAUAGCCAUAGUUUUGUCCCCUGUUACACCAAGCUUAUGUUUGAGAAUAUACAACCAGCUGGGCUACACAGAGGACCAAUUCGACACCAUCACCUGGAGUGAUGCCAAGUGGGGUGGGCUUAAGGCUGGACAGGUUAUGGCACAGCCGAAACCUGUCUUUUCCAGGAUUGAGAACCAAAUAGAAGAUGGUAAUGGAGGCGAAACAGUAAAGCAGGGGAGUAAAGAAAAGGAAAAUAUAAAUCAAAAUAAGAGCCCUAUUGAAGUGUGAAAGUUUUGGUUCCAGCGCAGGUAAUUGAUGAAGUCCUUUCCAAUGAUCCAGAGGAGUUGGAUGAAAACCUUUUGAAGAGGUUGGAAGUAGCUCAUUCAUUCGGUGAGGAAACAGAAGAGCUACUGAAUGGAUUUGGAACAGUUGAUUGAAAACUCUGUGGAGACUUUUCUCCAUUUUGGUGUGCUUGCUGCAUUGCUGGUUCUGGUGUUUGACAUGCGUAGCUCUGAUAUCAUAAUUCGCUUGCAGGAGAGUCGAUUGCCAUUCUUCUUGAUAAAGCGACAUAAAAGUCUCAUAUUGCAAAUGUGAAGGCUUCGUUCUGCUGGGGAUCAAUAUUGACUUGUGUUGGGUACGAGGAGCCAUGGCUGGCUCCUCAAUGGGGAACUGGAUCCAUUUGCUUUAUAAUGGCUGCUUAUGCAAAAGAACUGAUCAGGUCUUUGACUUUAUGAAAAGGUUUUACCAGUACAAAGGGUUCAUUGGCUCAGCUUGAUCAAUUUUAUUAGUGCGCUUGUUUUGAUCGUCCAAGUAAGCUUGCUGAUGAACUAUUUUCAACUUGAGCAAGUUUUGUAUAUCACAUCAAAGCAAACUAGUGGUUCGCUUGUUUUGCGGGG